UACGUAGGUGGCAAGCGUUGUCCGGAAUCAUUGGGCGUAAAGCGUGCGCAGGCGGCCUCUUAAGUCUGAUGUGAAAGCCCGCGGCUCAACCGGGGAGGGCCCAUGGAAACUGGGGGGCUUGAGUAUAGGAGAGGAGAGUGGAAUUCCACGUGUAGCGGUGAAAUGCGUAGAUAUGUGGAGGAACACCAGUGGCGAAGGCGACUCUUUGGCCUAUAACUGACGCUGAGGCGCGAAAGCGUGGGGAGCAAACAGG
rnacentral:misc_RNA from 1 species